AUUGAACGCUGGCGGCAGGCCUAACACAUGCAAGUCGAGCGAGCGGCGGACGGGUGAGUAAUGUCUGGGAAACUGCCUGAUGGAGGGGGAUAACUACUGGAAACGGUAGCUAAUACCGCAUACCAUCAGAUGUGCCCAGAUGGGAUUAUCUAGUAGGUGGGGUAACGGCUCACAUAGGCGACGAUCCCUAGCUGGUCUGAGAGGAUGACCAGCCAUACUGGAACUGAGACAGUGUCCAGACGCCUACGGGAGGCAGCAUUGGGGAAUAUGGCACAAUGGGCGCAAGCCUGAUGCAGCCAGGCCGCGUGGGUGAAGAAGGCCUUCGGGUUGUAAAGCACUUUCAGCGGGGAGGCGUUACCCGCAGAAGAAGCACCGGCUAACUCCGUGCCAGCCGCCGCGGUAAUAC
rnacentral:rRNA from 1 species